UACGUAGGGGGCAAGCGUUGUCCGGAAUCAUUGGGCGUAAAGAGCGUGUAGGCGGCUUGGUAAGUCCGCUGUGAAAGUCCAGGGCUCAACCCUGGAAUGCCGGUGGAAACUGCCAAGCUCGAGUCCGGAAGAGGCGAGUGGAAUUCCUGGUGUAGCGGUGAAAUGCGCAGAUAUCAGGAGGAACACCGAUGGCGAAGGCAGGUCUCUGGGCCAUUACUGACACUGAGAAGCGAAAGCAUGGGGAGCGAACAGG
rnacentral:rRNA from 1 species